CCUACGGGGGGCAGCAGUGGGGAAUAUUGGACAAUGGGGGGAACCCUGAUCCAGCCAUGCCGCGUGUGUGAAGAAGGCCCUCGGGUUGUAAAGCACUUUCAGUGAGGAAGAACGCCUGGUGGUUAAUACCCAUCAGGAAAGACAUCACUCACAGAAGAAGCACCGGCUAACUCCGUGCCAGCAGCCGCGGUAAUACGGAGGGUGCGAGCGUUAAUCGGAAUUACUGGGCGUAAAGCGCGCGUAGGUGGCUUGAUAAGCCGGUUGUGAAAGCCCCGGGCUCAACCUGGGAACGGCAUCCGGAACUGGCAAGCUAGAGUGCAGGAGAGGAAGGUAGAAUUCCCGGUGUAGCGGUGAAAUGCGUAGAGAUCGGGAGGAAUACCAGUGGCGAAGGCGGCCUUCUGGACUGACACUGACACUGAGGUGCGAAAGCGUGGGUAGCAAACAGGAUUAGAUACCCUGGUAGUC
rnacentral:rRNA from 1 species